AGAGGCUGGCUAGGUUGGAGAAAGAGUUAGCCGAGGAGGAGGAGCGAAAGCAAAGAGAGGAGGUUGCUCGACUGGUGGAAGAACGCAGGAAAUUGCGCGAUGAAAAGAUGGAGGCGGAGAAAGAGCGGGGGAAGGGGUCUCCUUCUGCUAAAUUACGGGAUGGUAAAAGGGAAGCAGAAAAGAAGCGGCAGGAGAAGAAGAAAGAAAGGGACAGAGGAUCUAGCAAAAGUAACUCUGAUGUGGAAGAGCUGGAUAAAAGGCAAGGCAAGGAGAGUGUGCGAAAUAGACAGAGUGAUGGUGAUAGAAGGCAUCAACACAAAAACGGGCCUGAAAGUAUUAAGACACAUAAUUCAGAAGUUAUACAUGGUUUUAAAGGCGGUUCUUCUAGCAGCCUUAACCAUGGAAAUGUAGGUACUAGGUACUUGGAUCGUAUGAGGGGUACUUUCUUAUCAUCUUCUAGAGCAUUUACUGGAGGUGGUUUCUUUGGCAAGAGUAAUGCUACUAAUAUCCCAAGAGAGCAGAAAUCUAAUACUCCUAUAGAUCCUGUUCAUAAUGCCUCCAGGAGGGAACUAUCGCAGUCAGAUCGCAUACCUGGAAAGCUGAAUCCAAGUGGAGACGACAGGAGUAUCAAUCGGCCUGUGCUUAUUGAAUCUCAACCAUUUACAGCUCCUAAAAAGUCUUGGCAACAACUAUUCACUCGAUCAUCUACUGUUUCUCCCCCCUCUUCAAAUGUAAUCAGCAGACCAAGUGUUAAGCCUCAAACAGAAAUUCUGAGUCCUUCCUGUCAGACCCCAGCUGUACAAUCUUUUGACAACCCCAUUAGCUUUGGUCUCCCAUCGCCUUUCACUUUAACUUCUUUUCCUUGUGGGCCUGCCAGUUGUACUACAACUAUUCCGUCAUCCCCAAGAGCAAUACAUCCUCGAAUUGGAGAUGGGACAGGUCAGUUAUUGGCAGAAGAGUUGGAGAACUUUGAAGAUCCUUGUUAUGUUCCAGACCCUGUGUCAUUGCUUGGACCAGUUUGUGAGUCCCUUGAUGACUUCCAACUGGACCUUGGCUUUGUGUCAGAUACAGGAUUGGAUAGCCCAUGUGUGGUAAAAAAUCUGAAUGCAUCUUCUGAAGUGACCAGGCCUUCACCAAUUGAGUCUCCAAUAUCACGAAUGCGUGUUCCAGAGGAAAGACAUGCUGGGUCUUUUCUUUUCCCCAACACUCCUAAUGCUCAGGACAUGCACACUGUGCCAAUGAAUGUUUCAAAUAGUGUAAAUGAUUUAGGAACGUGGCAAAUGUGGAACAGCUCUCCGCUUGGUCAAGCUGGUCUUAGUUUGAUAAGUUCUUCAACCAACUGGCGUUUUAGUUCAGAUCUCAAUACAUCAACUGUGGCUCCUACACCUCCAAGGACAAUGGCUUCACUGUUUAAGAAUGAUGAACAACUCCACUCCAUCUGUCAUCCUCCCCAAACAGUUUAUACGGGAAGUUGCCAGAAUGGUGGGACACAGAGUACUGUUUUGCCUGGUAGUGCUGAAAGUAGGUAUCCAAAAGCUCCUUUUGGUACAUAUGCAGGAGGUGAAAGUCAAUUUUCUCUCAAGUCUGAAGAUGCUGCUCAAAGUGAAAUGACGUACGGGAGUCCUAAUGCUACUGCUGCUAAUCAUCCAUUUGCGUCGUCUCCACCUAAUUGGGCCAAGUAAGCAAAAGAAAACUACUAAUUUCUCUUGCCAAGUGGGCAAAAGUAAAGUAGAAUGUUUUUGCCUCUUUUUGAAAGUUUAAAGCACUUUGAGGUACCUUAUUUGCUGUACUUUGUGCAUCAAUAUUAUCUGGA
rnacentral:misc_RNA from 1 species